rnacentral:rRNA from 1 species
GACAGAGGGUGCAAACGUUGUUCGGAAUUACUGGGCGUAAAGCGUGCGCAGGCGGUUCGUUGUGUCGGUGGUGAAAUCCCCGGGCUUAACCUGGGAAUGGCCAUGGAAACUGGCGAACUGGAGUGCGGCAGAGGGGGGUGGAAUUCCGCGUGUAGCAGUGAAAUGCGUAGAGAUGCGGAGGAACACCGAUGGCGAAGGCAGCCCCCUGGGCUAGCACUGACGCUCAGGCACGAAAGCGUGGGGAGCAAACAGG